GUGGGGCUCAAACUCACAGACUGCGAGAUCAUGACCUGAGCCGAAGUCGGACACUCAACCGACUGAGCCACCCAGGCACCCCGAGAAGCACCGUCUUAGAUCACACCUGCCUCAGGGAUGUUGGGAAGCUCAUGAGAGGCUGGCAGUUUCAGACAAUAGCUCCAGCCCUCCUAAGCCUGAAGCCAACCUUGCCUUCAAGUUGCUCACCUUUGCUCAGAUUCAGGACAGCCGGAGUCUCAGAAGAACAGACAGCGCCGAAAGAGGAAAAUGGAGAAACGAGUGAGAUGGGAACAGCCCCCAAAGCUGUCAUGUGCUGUGCCCCUAUCAUGUGCCAGACAUUGGCCUGAGCACCUUCCGUACAUUAACUUACCUGGGCCACAGUUCACACACUAGCACUGAGACGCCUCUGCUGAUAUUACCCCCAUUCCACAGAUGAGAAGACUCAAAUAGAUAAGCAACCUGCUCAAACUGGUAGGGGCAGGGCUGGGAUUUCAAGGCAGAUUGCUGGCUCUGGAGGCUACUGUUUAACCACCAUGUCAGUUGCUUUGCAGAAUGAUCUGGGAACUGUGGUAUAUCGGUCCCAUGUGGCCAAGAGUCCCUUCAUGGUGAUGACGGGGCUAGAGGUAAUCUAUCACUCUGCUGCUCAAGAGCCUCUAUGAUUCCCCAUGGCUUCUGUAGAGGAAAGCCACACCAUCGGCCCAGCAUAGGAGGGCUGUCUUUACAGCCUGACCACUGGCAGGCCACUCUUUGUCACUCCAUGUCACACGUGAUGUUAAGACAUCUGAAAGUCCUCUCUCCUUUCUCUGCCUGGUAACCCCCUGACUCUUUAAUACCUAGCUCAAAUAUCCUCUUUCUAACUCGUGCAGCAAGAGUCAGUGCCGCCUUCCCCUUUGUUCCCAAAGCUCUUGGUCCCUCCAACUGUGACCACAUGGGUCACAGCCUUUCUCUCAGGACCCUCCAGUGGAUGCCAUCCUCUCCCAGGUCAGGCUAUGAUUUUGGCAGAGUCCCGAGCUCCUGUGGAGAUUUGCCUCUCGCCAGCCUUGGGCUAUCUGCAUUCUUAAACAUCUCAGGGCCCAGAAGAAUUUGACCAGCUCUGAGAAUGGCCUGAAUGAAGAGAGGUCCUUCUCCUCUUCCCACAUAAAUGGACUGCAGGGAAAAAGAAACUUCCUGGCCUGCCUGAUACCAUCUCUAAGGAGGCAGAGGAAACAAAACCCAUUGACAGUGAUAACCUCUCGCCAGACUUCUGUGUUAAUGGAGGGGCUGCAGCUGGCUGCAGGACGCGUUCAGAGGUGUUGGUUGGGUGUGAGUUCCCACAGAAGGGGAGCUAGAAUUCAGUGUGUGAGAACAGAAUGGGAACAGUGUGGUACUAGGAGAGGAGCCCAGGUUCGAGGGUUCUUGGGAUUUGGAGGUUCCAUCAGUGACUUACUGUGUCGCCACCAGAAAGCAAGUGACGCGUUCCGUCCUACAGUUUCUUCAUGGUGGCCAAGUGGAGUUCACAGGGCUUUCCCCACAGUUGAAAGGAGAUGCUGUGUAAUGAUCUUUGCUGGAGAUGAAGCUACAGAGAAUCACGGGAAGAACUUGACGGUUCUUUGGACAUCACCAAACUUGCUUGGGGACAUGAGCCCAGAGAGGUGACGUAUGAUCCACGGUCACACAGCUGCUGGGGAGUAAAACCAGGUCCUGGAACCAGCCUCAGUUUCCACCCUCCUUUUCCUUCGGCAUCCCGUGUCGCCACCUUUGUUCCCGACACCUGUUGCCUGAAGCACCCCGAUCUGUUUCAGCCCUGCCAGUUGACCUUCUACCCUAAGCUAAUCCCUCGGUGGCUUCAACAUGACCAGUAGCCUCUCACCACGUACUUUAGGCAUCCCACGGUUUCACGUGACAGGCUCUGGCUACAGGCCCCGUUCAUAUUGCUAAUUGGGUGGCCCAUGAUGGUAAAUCAUGACUGGGGGCCAGGAAUGUGGGUCCAGGUUUGCAGGGCUAAGGGGCAUGCGGUGCGGGAAAUGCAGCGUGAUGGUUACUUUCAUGUGACGACUUGGGUAGGCCAUGGUGUCUACGUAUAAAUAUGCAUACACACACAGGCCCCUGGUUCUUUUCUCUGGAGAGAUCGGAGUAGUCUGUGCAGUUAAAACAAGCCAGAUUUAGGGCCACAUCCAGGAACUGCCACUGCGUAGAGAAAAUUAUUAAUUGACCUCAUUGGGCCUCACUGUCUUUGUGGGUAAAACGGAAAUAAUAUUAAUAUCUGCCACGUGGGUGGCAAUAAAGACUAAACAGGACAGUAACUGUAAAGCACUUCACGUGCGGCCCGGCAAACAGCGCUCAGCAAAUAACGCUGUUUAUCGUGAGAUGUAUACUGUCUGCAAAAGCCACGUAGGUGCGUGAGUCAGUCUACUGGCUGUCCGACAAAUCACCCCAGAACUUUGGGGUUUAACACCAGGACUGUUUAUUUUUCGCGGUCUUGUGGGGUGCUUGAGCCCUGCAGGGUGGUUCUUCUGUUCCACUUGGAGUCAGUGUGGCUGCGUUCACGGGGGGAGCCCUGCGAGGCCGCGUGGCCAGAAGGCUUUACGUGGGGCCUCAGCCAGGACGACUGGGGCAGCAGCUGAGGCCUCUCGCUUACUCUGAGACCUUGUCAUCAUAGUCCAGACGGACCUUCUCUUCCAGUGUGGCAGCUGGACCCCCCCAAGUGCCUGGUGUAAAACCUGCCCGGCCUCCCUAGGGCAAGGCUCAGAACUGAGACGACAUCACUUCCAUCACAUUCUGCUGGUCAGGCGGUCACAGGUCAGCCCAGAUUCAGGGGCAGGAGAAAUGGAUUCUCACUUUGGAGGGGAAAAACAACACGCGUGUACAGAAACGGGAGGAAUUCUUGGCAAGCCUCACCGGACGCAGCCGACCCCGGGGCCUGAGUUGCUUUUAGAGUUUAUGACUCUCAGCGUCUACCGUUUAACCUCUUGGGUUAUCUGUCCUAAUCUAGUGAGAGAACUGCUACUCAGAGAUGUUAAGUAACCCAGCAGAGGUUACACAGCUAAGUGACACAGAGGAGCGUCCCAAGUGGUAAAGACCAUUUUCCAUCACUGCUGUCCUCCACGAGCCUGUGUCUGGAAUGGGACCUGUCUUUGCGCUCAUGAACAGGUUGGAUGGGUAAGAUACCUGGAGGUGUAGCAGCCAUCUUGCAAGCAUGAGGAGACAAGUCAACAGAAUGAAAUGCCAGAGCAGAUAAGAAAAAGUCUGGAUCUUUGAUAGCACGGUUGAGCUGUUCCACCAGCCCAAGACAGGAGUCUACAUCCAGACUUUCUGUUAUUGAAACAAUGGCCGCUUCUUUACGUCACUCCAAGUUGUCUUUCAUUUGCAGCGGAAAACGUUUCGAAUGGAUACACAGACUUCCGCCAAAGCACAGCCAGUGUCGGGCUGUGUUGGGCUAGUACGGUGGUUAAGAGCCCAAAUUCCAGAGCCAGAAGUCCCAGGUUCCAAUCUCGGCUCCACCGUUACUAGGUAUAGGGCCUGGGCAAGUCAUUUAGCUCUUCUGUGACUCACUGGCCUCGUCUGCAAAAUGCUCAGCAAAGGUGUGGACCCGAGGUUCCACAUUUUACCCAUGAGACAACACUGAGCUGAGUUAAUCCAAAAUCACGCAGCUCCAGCUAGAAGUGGGGGAGCUGAGAUCUGACUCCAUGUAAUCCCAGGCUCUGAGACCCUCGUUGCCACUGCACCAUGUCCAGCUGCCUACCGACAGCGUGGAGACCUUGGGUGCGGCUCCUGGAAUCAGGUUGCCUGGGUUCCUAUCCCAGCUCAACUGUCGAACGGCAUGAUGAUCCAAGGUGCCCAUCUCUGAUGGCUAAAAUGCGGCUCGGCUCAAAGGACCCCUCCCUGAGCUUCACCCGCUGGCCCCACAUCUGGAACAAUUCAAAUCCUCGUGGCCCCUGCUCUGAACGUUGAGGCCACCCUGUCCGCCGGUGACCACGGAUUUCAUUUCCCCCCGAUUGCAGGCGUGUGGGCAGUUACAAGUUGAAAAGCAGCAGCCGGCUUCAAAUACAUUUUCUUCAUGCCCUCUCUGAAGUUCUUCGUUUUUCCUUUGACACCCUAAUUCUGCCACGCUAUUCCAGCAUGCUGAGAAUAGACUUCUCAAUGCCCUGCGGCUCUCACGGACAGAAUAACAGGCUUCCAGGUCCCUACGCCCCAAGGAAGAGACUGACCAGGAACCCAUGAAGGCUGGGUUCAAUGAGACAAGUACAUCCUUGCAACUAAAGGUGCAGGAAGUCAGCCAGGACUUCCAGGCGUGGAGCCUGGUCACUUCUGUCUUGUUCAUGGCUUAGAACAGUGCCUGGAACAUGGUAAACGGUUCAUAAAUGUUGGGGAGGAUAAACAGUCCCCUCUUGUGAAUGUCACACUGCCUGCUGUCGUCAGAGGCUCUGGCUUCCUGUGUCUCUUAGACUGUGAUGCCAUGAUGCCAACAGGUGAGGUCCAAGCUCAGAGUGAGAGCACACAGCAGCCCUGCCUGGCCCUCCCCGUGUCCCCGGUCCUACCACAUUUCCUCUGCAUCACCUGUCCAAGCUUCUCAUCACUGAGUCUGCUGUUCCCCCUGUGCCCAGGGCUCUUCCCACCAUUGCCCCUAGCCCAGCCCUGUAAGGUGCAGGAAACCAGCCAACAGGACCCUGGCCCCAGCCACAUCUGGAUCUCCAGGCUCAAUCUCCAUCUAUACCGGGGAAUGUGAGAUUACAGUCUGCAGGCCAGAUCUGGUCAGUGGUCGGUUUUUGUAAGGACCUUGGACUGAGAAUGGUGUUUACAUUUCCAAAGGGUUGAAAAUUUUAAAAAGAAUGCACAACAGAGACUAUAUGGCUGAUGAAGCCCAAAACACUGACUCUCUGGUCCUUUAUGGAAAAGUCUUGCUGACUCCUGGCCCAGAAAGUCCUCUGAUACACUAGCCGGGAGGACCAACUGUGUGAACCAGGCCCCGUGUCAGGGCUUCAGGCUCGGAGUUAUUUCUUGCCACUUACCAACCCCGAGGCAGGUGGGGUUCUUGUCCCUUGUAGAGAUGGGGGAAACUGAGGCAUAAGAGGUUAAUUCACUUGCCUGAGAAUCUAAAUAAAUGGCACAGCCAGGAUUCAAACCCAGACAGGCAGGUUUUUUAAUCAUGGUGCCAUUUUUCUUCUGGACACUGCCUAGCACAAGCUUUAGGACUCGCCCAUACUCUGUCCCAUUCCGGACCCCUUGUCGCAGAGAUGAACUUCAGAAAACACCGCCCUCUGCCAGCAUGAGUUUCUGUCUUCCUCUGACCCACAGUCAGUGACCAGGUGUUUGGUACCCCCGCCUCCUCUCCCCUCCCGGCCACCCCCCAAGACAGUUCAUCUCCUGUGGGGCUGACAAGGCUAUGCUGCCUCUGUCUGCCCCACGCAGUGGCCUGGAACCCUAUUCUGUCCUGCUCCCUGAGUCCUGAUGCUUUUCCAUGAGCUGGGCCUGAAGUUGUUCCCACUGAGUCUCUCUUCCUGGGGGCAUCCCUGUGCCCUCUUGUCUCUGCUUCCUUCCACCCAUCUUGUCCCUCCCAUGAGGAACUGGAUCCAUGGCUUCGGGUCAAGAGUGCACACGGAGGUGCAGUUAACUCCUGGUACCGGGCCUGGACCCUUUGUAGCCCAAGGACUGCAGCUGAGAUCCUCCCCUCCUGGGAGAAAGAGGAGAAGCCCCUGGGUUCAGAGUAACAUGGAGGACAGCCCAGAGGUGGUGUUGCAACCCAGGGGAAACAUUGCACUUCAGGGCUGUGCAGGUGGAGUGGUGCCUUGCGAUCAACAGUGUAAGCACAGGGGCACAGGAGGGGUAAGAAUGGAAAGACAGCUGCCAAGAGGAACAGAGAGCUUCUCAAAUCCCCCCCAGCCGGUCUCCUCCCCACAGCACCAGCCCGGCUUUGACAAAACCCGCCCUUCCGGUAGUAGUCCCUCCACCUUGGCUGGAAAUCACUGUGUGCAGAGUGAAGACAGAGGCCAUCUUCUAGUGUGACCAUGGACAGGUUACUUAGCGCUCUGUACCUCACAUUCCUCUUUUUUUCAGAUGGUGAUGGUGGUAAGUAUGUGGUAGGGUCUUAUUCACAGAUCACAUGCUCCUGGCACUUAGUAGGUGCUGAGUGUGAGAAUGACUCCCCUGGGGGAUGCCGAAUUGUGAGCUCUUCCCAGGUCAUCCUGGGAAGGAUGCUCUCAAGAACGCUCUGCAAUUGAGGAUGUACGGGAGGCCCCUAGGUCAAGGCUGACAGGAGAGGCCUCUCAAGGGCCCGACCAACAUGCUGUGUUUCUCCUUCUGAGGCUGAAGAGGCAGACUCUCUCCAGACUGGAGAGUCUCGCCAGCGUCUCAGACUUCUGAUUCCCCUGGCUUCAUAUCCACCUUUCUGUGGUCUUCUCCAUCCUUGUUAAUGACAACGCCAACUCUUCAGUCGCUCAGCCUUGGAGUCAGUUAACCUUGGUCUCCCCAUCACUCACCUAUCCUAUCCAGACCAUCAGCAAACCAUACCCAGAAUAUCAUGCCCUCUCACCACCCCAAAGCCCCUACCUGGGUCCCAGCCGCCAUCAUUUCUUGCCUGCAUUAGUACGACAGCCCUUGACGGGUCUCUGCGUCUGCCUUUGCCCCUCUACAAUCUGUUUUCACAGCAACAGCCAGAGUCACCCUUGGAAAUCAAGCUGGGGCACAUGACCUUUCUGCUCCAAACCCCCCCCCCCCCCCGCAGGCUUCCCAUCCUGUUCAGAGUAAAAGCCACGGGCCUUGCAAUGGUCUGGGAGGCCCAUGGGAACCAGCCCCACUACCCUGACCAUGCCCUCGUUCCUUCUGUCCUGUUCAUCCCACCUGCCAUCCUGCCCCUGCCCUCUUGCAGACACUCGAGCUCCCCUCAACAGCUUGCUCUUGCUGGACUCCCCCAUCACCGCUCACUCCCUUAGCUCUUCCGGGCCUUUGUUCUGGCCUUACCACCUCAGCCAGGCCUCCCCCGGCCCCUAUUUCACUUUCACCCUUGUACCCCCCGCCCCCACCACCACUCUGCAACUCUCUUUCUUCUCUUUCCUGCCUUUGUUUUUCUCCGUUGUUCUUGGCACCUGUACCGUGCCUCACGGUUGUGUGAGUUGAUCCAUUAGUGCCCCUUAUCUCGCUGGAGAUUCAAUUCCAGGGGGGCAGGAAUUUCUGUCUUAGCCCCCGCUGAGAACCCCACCUGUGACAUGGUAGCACUCUGUAAAUAUUUGUGGAAUGAAUGAAUGGCCUUAGACCAAAGACAGCCGGCACAGAAAAUAAACCUCUAUUUCAAGCAAAA